rnacentral:rRNA from 1 species
AUUGCACGCUUGCGGCAGGCCUAACACAUGCAAGUCGAGCGAGCGGCGGAAGGGUGAGUAAUGUAUGGGGACUGCCCGAUCGAGGGGGAUAACUACUGGCAACGGUAGCUAAUACCGCAUCAUAUCGGAUAACACAUAGGUGAUUAGCUAGUAGGUGAGGUAAUGGCUCACCUCGGCGCAGAUCCCUAGCUGGUCUUAGAGGAUGAUCAUCCACACUGGGACUGUGCAACGGCCCAGCCUCCUACGGAGGCAGCUGUGGGGAAUAUUGCACAAUGGGCGCAAGCCUGAUGCAGCCAUGCCGCGUGUAUGAAGAAGGCCCUAGGGUUGUAAAGUACUUUCAUUCGGGAGGCGUUACCGACAGAAGAAGCACCGGCUAACUCCGUGCCAGCAGCCGCGGUAAUAC